UGCAUAUAUCUAAUUGCUUUUAUAGAAAUAUAUACAUGUAGAUAAUUAUUAUGAGCAGAUACAGUCCCUGAAAAUGACUAAUUUAUAAAAACUUAAAAAUGUUUAUUCCCUUCUUGUUUAAAGCUUGUCUUUGUUAUUACCUUAAUAAACUCGGGAAGAUUAUUGCAGUCAUAGAUUGCAUUCAGCACCAAAAAUUUGCUAUUUGGAACAACAAAAUUUAGUUUACAAAAUCUGGUACGGUUAUGUAUGGAUGACACUAUAUGACAUGUGUAACAAAGAGUGACCGUCAUUUUUAUUUAGCUAUCUGACUCUAUUCCUUUCUGAGUUUUAUUAAAGAACACACUUUGUACGUUAUUUUAUGAAAUGCUAUAAGUAUUAAAAAUUUGUUUCACAUUGCAUGUUUGACAAUAGUGAACGUGUUUCUUCAUCUGGUAAUCAAUUCAUAUCACAUUCUUUCCAAUGUUAUGUUAUAUACAUAUUGAUUUUCUGGGAAGCUGAAAAUAUUUACCUCUAAAUGUAUAGAUAUCGACCGACAUAAAUCGGUGCCGGUAUAUACCGGAUCCAAGAAAGGUGAACAAAAAGUAUCUUAAAUGUAUAAAAUUUGUAACCAUGGUGAUACUAACCCUAACCUUUAGUCAGUAUAUUAUACAUAUUAUACACUAAAUGUGUGCGAACAUGCAAUAGUUUGCGUAUUAUUGCCAUUUUUUCUCACGUUCGGACAUGUGCAGACAGCUCCAGCUCUGCAAUGAGCAACAUCGUACUUUUUCCUCCCAACUGACAAAUGAUUUUCAAGUAAAUGUCAAUAAGUGUCUAUUCAACUUGUAUUGUUGCAUUUAAGUCAAUGCGAAAAAUUCUUAUCAUCAUUUAAGUCAAUGCGAAAAAUUCUUAUCAUCCAGGAAGUAUAAAAAGAUGUCACAGGCACAGGCUGUUGAGAAUAAUAUAUUAAAUUAAUGCUAACAUCACGUACGGAGUAAUCGAAAAUAUAGCGAACAAAAUAUACGAGAAGGUAAUGUAACAGAAAUACAAAAAUACAAUAAUUAACCGUGUUAUUUCGAGAUCUUUCUAUUUUCAAGAUCGCCUUAUAAUUAUUUUCUCUUCAAGCUUAUUAUUUUGCCAAGUUUCUGUAAUCCGUAAUUUCUCGAUCAACUAGAUCUAGUAACGAUAAAGUAAAUUUCAUUAUUCAGCCUUAUAAGAAAUACAUAAAGAAUGUAAACAAAACAUUUGUUUCCAGCUUUCAGUGUUUUCUCAUGUAAAACCCUGAUGUCUUUUUUUUCAGUUGUGAGCAUAUAAGUUGAAGCAAAUGAUUUCUAAAAUAUUUGACAGCAGAGUUGUAACUGAUUAUUAUCAUUCAGAAAUAAACAUAAUUGUUUUCUUACAUCUUAUGCAUUACAUUGAGACUGGGUAAUUUUCUGUUUUAUCAGCAUGGCUGAUGAACAUGAUCUACAAUAUCUGAAAUCUAACAUAUUAUUAUAUUAGCUAUAGGCCCAGUACCAGAGAAUUAUCCAGAGAAUCAUCUGCCAGGAUGUGGAAAACGUUCUAUAGGAUAUCAUGCAGACGGCUUGUUGUAUGAUGGAAGGGGUAUUGGGAAGGAAUUUGGACCAAAGUGCAAUGUUGGUGACAGGAUAGGCUGCGGUAUAACUAAGGUAGAAUGGAAUGGUCGUUGGUUAGGCUAUGACGUUGUGUUUACAAGGAACGGAAAAAAGGUUGGAGGGAGAAACAUUAGAUACCUUUGUACUCUAUAUUUUGCUGUUGGAAUGCAUUCAUCCGGAGAAAAAGUCAAAGUUAUACUUGAUGCAAAGAUGCCAAGGAUGUGAAUAAAGUGGCAACUGCCAACAGGGUUUCAAACAACAUACACAAGACAUUUAUAUACAAUCAUUUUCUAGAUCACGAUUAUGUUAAUAUGUUCCUGUAAUCAUAACACCGUGUCCGAAUUACGUAAUACUACUUACUGCCUUUUGCUAUGUAUUUGGACGAUUUAAACGCUUGUAAAAUGCCACUUUACUAUAAACAGGAAAGUCAGAAAACUAGUUAAGUGAUUAAGAAUAUAUAUUGUUUUCUGUUUUACAUAACUAAUAUGUAUCAAUUCCUCGAAUAUUAUUCUCUGAUUGUGCUUACGAGGGAUGAUCAGUAAUUACGUUGACUGCCUCUAUAUCUUUAAUAGUAUAAGACAUGCAUUAAGAAACAAAAACAUAUCAAUAGAAUCGUCGUCCUAUUCUCUACUAUGUCUGUAAAUAUCAAAAAUGUCUGUCCCUCCUACAUCAAAUGACGGCGACUUGAAAACUCACACUAUCGCGCUGCCGGCCCGCGUCGUGAUCAGUUCGACGACGUCAACGACGUCGCCUAUCCCGAAUGUGCUCGAAAUAGUCUGAUGUGAUCAAAUAUCAUUGUACAAGAGAAGUGAACACUGCUAAAUACCUUCCACCUGUUUAAUUUGGUGGUCAGAAUGUUGUGUGCGGUUCCAUAGCUGACAUUGGCAGCAUCAGCUCCCGAACGGUCAUUCUGCAGUCCGCUUUCAGUUUGUCUUCUAUUGACGUCAUGACUGACGGUCCGAUUGUUGACUUUCGUCUACGACCUGCAUCGCCUUCAAGAAACUGUCGGCCAUCAGAAAAGCGUCCAAAACACUUGAAUACUAGCGCUUGGCAAACGCAGUUUUCUCACCAUGUCCGCUUCAGUAGCUUAUACGUUUCCGAUGGUGUUUUGCCCAUUUCUGUGCAACAUUUAAUGUUUGCGCGAAUUUCCAAACGUUCAUGUGAUGACAUAUUUAAAUUCAUAGCAUGAGCGGCUGUCAUACAACAGAAGUUGUUUAUUUCACAAUGCAACGGCCGAAUGACGUCAUAUUUUCAGAUAACGUGUCGAAAACGUCGUCAAACAGAAUCGCGGAUUUUUGUUUAGAAUUUCUGUGGCUGAUAUUUAUUUUAUUAAGCUUUCACUUUAGCAUGAAGCACGCCGGCAUAGCUCAGUAGGUAGAGCGUCGGUCUACGGAUCGCGGGGUCGCGAGUUCGAUCCUCGGGCGGGGCGUGUGUUCUCCGUGAUUAUUUGAUAAACGACAUUGUGUC
rnacentral:lncRNA from 1 species